GUAGGGAAUCUUCCACAAUGGACGAAAGUCUGAUGGAGCAACGCCGCGUGAGUGAAGAAGGGUUUCGGCUCGUAAAACUCUGUUGUUAGAGAAGAACAGCCGUGAGAGCAACUGCUCACGGUAUGACGGUAUCUAACCAGAAAGUCACGGCUAACUACGUGCCAGCAGCCGCGGUAAUACGUAGGUGGCAAACGUUGUCCGGAUUUAUUGGGCGUAAAGGGAGCGCAGGCGGUUUAUUAAGUCUGAUGUGAAAGCCUUCGGCUUAACCGGAGAAGUGCAUCGGAAACUGAUAAACUUGAGUGCAGAAAAGGAUAGUGGAACUUCAUGUGUAGCGGUGAAAUGCGUAGAUAUAUGAAGGAACACCAGUGGCGAAGGCGGCUAUCUGGUCUGUAACUGACGCUGAGGCUCGAAAGCAUGGGUAGCAAACAGGAUUAGAAACCCUAGUAGUCC
rnacentral:rRNA from 1 species